rnacentral:lncRNA from 1 species
CGCGCGCCGAGAGGCGCUUUCUCCUCGGCUAAAAAUAGGCUAUAAAGGAGUCGGCCUCAUGAUGGCUCCUUGAUUCAAUUUGCUGCAAAUUCUUUCCCGAAAGCCUUCCCCGCCUCACAGCCACACGCACAAAAAGGGGGGUGUCGAGGCACGGAGGGCGCGAGAGGGGGAGAAGGCCGAGGUGCACAUUUUCGGGAGACAACACCAACAUAAUUGGGCCACCCCCCCCCCGGAAACUGUUGCACGAGCGGGCUUGCAGACGGAAACAACAUUUGGCGCCUGAACAGGGGACUGCUAUACUGGGUAAAGAUUGAAGUUUCGGGUGAAUGCUUUGAAAAGUGGCCAAAAGGAAAGAGAACACAGGAGACUCUCAAGGCUGAGGAACAGUGGUGGUCUUUAUCCUGUUCUCCAAGUAGUGGACACACUUGCUCAGCCCUCGGGAAACAUCUUAGAGAAGGACCUGGAGAGGAGUGACUUUGUGGUAUACCUAGAGAGACUGAGUAUUAGACUUUGGAGAGUGCUCUCUUCGGCAGCACAUAUACUAAAAUAAACUUUGGAGCAAAGAUACCUGUGCUGAGCUUGGCAGAAGUCAGCAGAGCUGCCUGACCUUCAGUGAUCAUAAGAACUUGGAUGCUGAGCACAUGAAUGGUGAUUAGUAUGAACUGAAAACAAGUGGACUCCGCCCAAGUGACACGCUCUGGGUAAGUUUCCAGGUGCUUUGGCAUAACAUUGUGAGGCCCAGUAAGAUGUGGAUUUAUGCAAAAUAUAUUUUGAUUUUGGAGCAAAAUGAAGUAUUGUGACAUUUUUCAUAAACCCUUGUUUGUAGAGUAAAAGUCAUAUCUAUUACUUGAAUAUUUGUUUGGAAGGCACACAAGGGAAAGCAGGGCAG